AUUGAACGCUGGCGGCAGGCCUAACACAUGCAAGUCGAGCGAGUGGCGGACGGGUGCGUAAUGUAUGGGAAACUGCCUGAUGGAGGGGGAUAACUACUGGAAACGGUAGCUAAUACCGCAUACCAUCGGAUGUGCCCAGAUGGGAUUAGCUUGUGGGUGGGGUAAAGGCUCACCUAGGCGCCGAUCCCUAGCUGGUCUGCGAGGAUGACCAGCAACACUGGAACUGAGACACGGGCCAGACUCCUACGGGAGGCAGCAGUGGGGAAUAUUGCACAAUGGGCGCAAGACUGAUGCAGCCAUGCCGCGUGUAUGAAGAAGGCCUUCGGGUUGUAAAGUACUUUCAGCGGGGAGGCGUUACCCGCAGAAGAAGCACCGGCUAACUCCGUGCCAGCAGCCGCGGUAAUAC
rnacentral:rRNA from 1 species